rnacentral:lncRNA from 1 species
UUUGAAGUUUCAUAUUUCAAAAUUCAGAUUAUAAUUAGCUAUUUAAUAAUUCUAUUCUUUUUAAUAUUACAAUUCUUUAAUAUUAACAAUAUUAAAAAAAUUAAAUUAUCUACAAACCAAUACUUCACCUUACCCAAUUUUAAACCUUAAUUUUUCAUAAUCUCUUCUCUAUCCCCCCUCUCUCUUCUCCCUCCCCCCUUCAGCCGUCAAUCCGGCGAUGCACUACCACCGCAAUGGACUGACACCACCGUGAGUGACAAAGUACCUCUUUUGGUGCGUGCGUCGUGAAGCAGAAUCACAAUCGAUGUGGAGAGAUUGAAGAGGCGUUGCAUCGUGAUGUGGCCAUCAUCAGUAGUAGCGUCGCUCUUCCCAACUUCAAUCUUCGUGUUACAGACUAGGAUGCUUCUUUGAAAAUUUACAUAUUAUGAAUGUGAGGUUGUUAAUAGAGAGAUUUAGUUUUUGAAGAUCGAUGUGGUGGUGGUGGUGGUGGUUGUGAUUGAGGAGGUGUCGACGACAGUUGGUGGUUUCUGUGGGUUGAUGUGGGCGAAAGGCAAUGAGAGUUGAGAGAUUGAAAAAGAUGGCAGUUGUGUGAAGGAGAUGGUGGGUUAUGGCUUGGUUUGAUUUGGUGGAGGCUUUUGGUGGUUCGUUUAUUGAUUUGGAGAGGUGAUGGUGAAAUUAUGGUGGCCGACAGUGUUGAAGUGAGUUGAUCUGGUCAGUAGAAGAUAGGAAACAUGGGUGGUGGUUUUGGGGUUUUUUUGGUGGUCUGAAAAUGGCGAUGGUAGUGGUGCGGCAUCUGCAAUGGUGGUGGCAAUGGAGGUAGUGUUUUGUUGGUGGUGGUGGUUGAGAUUGUGGUUGAGGUUGCGGUGGCGAUGUGGAAUGAAAGUAUUUGUGACCAGUUAUUUGGGAGUUUGUGAACAACUAUUGGGAUUUGGGUGGGAGUAGGAUGAAGAGUAUUAUGACCAAAUUAGUUGGUUAAUUUGUGACCACGAAUUGUUUUCGAUGAUGGGAUUGGUGAGGGUUAGGAUGUGGAGU